rnacentral:rRNA from 1 species
GACGAACGCUGGCGGCGUGCUUAACACAUGCAAGUCGAACGGAAAGGCCCUGCUUUUGUGGGGUGCUCGAGUGGCGAACGGGUGAGUAACACGUGAGUAACCUGCCCUUGAUUUUGGGAUAACUUCAGGAAACUGGGGCUAAUACCGUAUAGGAGCCCCCGCUGCAGGGUGGGGGUUGGAACGUUUCGGCGGUCGGGGAUGGACUCGCGGCUUAUCAGCUUGUUGGUGGGGUAGUGGCUUACCAAGGCUUUGACGGGUAGCCGGCCUGGGAGGGUGACCGGCCACAUGAGGACUGAGAUACGGCCCAGACUCCUACGUGAGGCAGCAGUGGGGAAUAUGGCACAAUGGGCGGAAGCCUGAGGCAGCAACGCCGCGUGCGGGAUGACGGCCUUCGGGUUGUAAACCGCUUUCGCCUGUGACGAAGCGUGAGUGACGGUAAUGGGUGAAGAAGCACCGGCUAACUACGUG